CCCUUAGAUGUUCUGGGCCGCACGCGCGCUACACUGAUGCAUUCAACGAGCCUAUCCUUGACCGACAGGUCCGGGUAAUCUUUGAAUCUGCAUCGUGACGGGGAUAGAUUAUUGCAAUUAUUAAUCUUCAACGAGGAAUGCCUAGUAGGCGCAAGUCAUCAGCUUGCGUCGAUUACGUCCCUGCCCUUUAUACACACCGCCCGUCGCUCCUACCGAUUGGGUGUGCUGGUGAAAUGUUCGGAUCGGCCGUUUGUCGCGGUUUCCGCGGCUCGUGGCUGAGAAGUUCAUUAAACCCUCCCACCUAGAGGAAGGAGAAGUCGUAACA
rnacentral:rRNA from 1 species